GGCAUGGUGUAGUGUUUUGCAUGUUGUACUACAAGUCCAGAGACCAGGGUUCCAAUCCCUGCUCAGUCA